UGGGGAAUAUUGCACAAUGGGCGAAAGCCUGAUGCAGCGACGCCGCGUGAGGGAUGACGGCCUUCGGGUUGUAAACCUCUUUCAGCAGGGACGAAGCGCAAGUGACGGUACCUGCAGAAGAAGCACCGGCUAACUACGUGCCAGCAGCCGCGGUAAUACGUAGGGUGCAAGCGUUGUCCGGAAUUACUGGGCGUAAAGAGUUCGUAGGCGGUUUGUCGCGUCGUUUGUGAAAACAAGCAGCUCAACUGCUGGCUUGCAGGCGAUACGGGCAGACUUGAGUACUGCAGGGGAGACUGGAAUUCCUGGUGUAGCGGUGAAAUGCGCAGAUAUCAGGAGGAACACCGGUGGCGAAGGCGGGUCUCUGGGCAGUAACUGACGCUGAGGAACGAAAGCGUGGGUAGCGAACAGG
rnacentral:rRNA from 1 species